GGAUGUGAGGGUGAUCUGGCUGUGACAUCUGUCACCCCAAUGAUCACCAGGGUUGAUUCGGCUGAUCUGGCUGGCUAGGCGGGUGUCCCCUUCCUCCCUCACCGCUCCAUGUGCAUCCCUCCUGAAGCUGCGCGCUCGGUCAAAGAGGACGACCAUCCCUGAUAGAGGAGGACUGGUCUUCGGUCAAGGGUAUACGAGUAGCUGCACUCCCCUGCUAGAACCUCCAAACAAGCUCUCAAGAAAGUCUAUUAAAAAAAAUCACAGGCUGUAACUGGAUUUUGGUGUGAAAAGCAUCUUCUGGCUCUUAAAAAGCCUAAAUGAUGUUAGUUUAUAUCAUAAACUUG
rnacentral:snRNA from 1 species